rnacentral:lncRNA from 1 species
CAAAAAGGUAGGCAAGGACCAGAUCCCACAGGGCCUCGGAGACUGCGUCAGUGCAUCUGGCUUUCAUUCCAAGAAGGCUUGGAAGGGUCCUAAGCAGGGAAAUGACACAAUCCAACGUUUAUCCUAAGAAGACCAUGAAAGAAAGCGGGGCAAGAACAAAUGUCAGGAGACCAGGACCUCACAGGCACCACGGCGCCCCCUGCCCUGCCCUGCCCUGAAGCAGUUCCAGGAACGUCAGAUGGUAAGAGAAGAAACGACUUACAAACGUCAAGUCCAUUUUACAGAUGGAAAAUCUGAAGCUCAGAUAGGAGAAAAGACUUGCCCAAGUGCCUGAGCAAUGGUUUUAAACUUGGGGCGAUUUUGCCCCCCAGGGAACAUUCGACCAUGUCUGGAGACAUUUUUGGUUUUCCCAACGAGGAGGUUGCUACUGGCGUCUCAUGAGAAGAGACCAGGGAUGCUGCUACACGCCUUCAAUGCACAGGACAGCCCCUGCGCCAGAGAAUUGUCAGGCCCGAAAUGUCAGCAGGUUUCUGAGGUUGAGAAACUCUGUUCUAGGGCCUGGCAUCUGCCUAUAUAAACUUCCAAAUAGACUCCUGGAGUCCUGGGUUCUUCUGCAGCCCGGGAGGAUACUGUAUGAAGUCUUUCCUAGGGUCGUGCCUGCCCCAACUUGUAUAUUUAACCUUGCUUAGGACUGGUCAGUUCCACUCUUGGGCUCCAGUGUUUUGAAUUCCACCCACUGACAGAGAGGACAGAAUAAUUAAUAUUUGCUGGAGGCAUGUAAAACCAGUAGUCUCCCUGCUGAGGGCAUGAAUUAAAAUGUAAAUGGGAGCUGGGUGCGGUGGCUCAUGCCUGUACCAGUGUUUUGGGAGGCCAAGGUGGGUGGAUUGCUUGAGGCUGGGAGUUCGAGAUCAACCUGGCCAACAUGGUGAAACCCCAUCUCUACUAAAAAUACAAAAAUUAGCCAGGUGUGGUGGCACACAACUAUAGUCCCAGCUACUCGGGAGGCUGAGGUACGAGAAUCACUUGAACCCAGGAGGCGGAGGUUGCAGUGAGCCGAGGUCGCACCACUGCACUCCAGCCUGAGUGACAGGGGGAACUCUGUCUCAAAAAAAAGUAAAUGGGGAGUGGGAAGGUGGGGAGAAAAAGGAAAAUUAUUGGGAUUAAAGGAUCCUCCUGGGGAUUGCUAGGAGGCAUAGUCAUCCUACGCCUUCCCUUCUCACCUGGUCUGUGAGAAGCAUAAACUGAGGCCCUACAAUGUGAAAAGCCUCAAAGUGCGUUCCAUAGCUGGUCAGAGGUGGAGCUGGGGCUCCUGAUUAUAUUUACAUAUUAAUUAAAGCUUUGUUAUCAGCUAUUCUACCUCAGGCCUAGGCCUGGACUAGGGCCUGGGUGGUAGAAUGGGUUACUCUGGAGCAGCAAGGGGGACUAGAUUAGGGGAGGUGGGAUGGAGGCCAGGGCAGGACCUGGAACGAGGGUGGAGGUGAGGGGUGGGAGCACAGAGAGGAAUCAGGCUUCCUGUGUGCUCCUCCCUGGCCCCUUUCACAGAGACAGGUAAACCAGGGGUUCCCUUUGCACAUCUGAUGAAAACUUAGCACUAUCUCUCUGGAGAUGUGCAAUGUAUAUUUUGCAUAUAAUUUCAGUAUCUUCAAAGUUCUAUAUUGGUUACCAGAAGGACUGGAUGGGAGGUGGGUGGAGAGGGGGUUGAUUCUUAAGUGUAUAUAGAAGAAUAAACAUACAGGAAUAAAAAGUCCAGGAAGAAAAGUAAUGAAAAGGGAUUUGUCUUACCCGAUACUAAAACAUACUAUAAAGUCAAUGUAUUUAAAGCAGUAUGGUAUUGAAGCAGGACUAGACCGAUCUGUGGAACAAAAUGGAGUAUGGAAAUGGAUCCAGCCCCACAAGGGAAUUCAAUGUAUGAUAAAGAUAGCACUUCAGGCCCGGCACAGUGGCUCAUGCCAGUAAUCCCAAAACUUUGGGAGGUUGAGGCGGGCAGAUCACUUGAG